GCCUGGGUGGCUCAGUCGGUUGAGCGUCUGACUUCAGCUCAGGUCAUGAUCUCGCAGUUCGUGGGUUCGAGCCCCACGUCGGGCU
rnacentral:tRNA from 1 species